UACGUAGGGUGCGAGCGUUGUCCGGAAUUAUUGGGCGUAAAGGGCUCGUAGGCGGUGUGGCAAGUCGGGAGUGAAAUCUCUGGGCUCAACCCAGGGGCUGCUUCCGAAACUGCCGUGCUAGAGUGUGGGAGAGGCGCGUGGAAUUGCAGGUGUAGCGGUGAAAUGCGUAGAUAUCUGCAGGAACACCCGUGGCGAAAGCGGCGCGCUGGACCACUACUGACGCUGAGGAACGAAAGCUAGGGGAGCAAACAGG
rnacentral:rRNA from 1 species